AUAGCGUAUAUUAAAGUUGUUGCGGUUAAAAAGCUCGUAGUUGAAUUUGUGUCCCACGCUGUCGGUUCACCGCUCGCGGUGUUUAACUGACAUGAUUGUGGGACGUCCUACCGGUGGGCUUAGCUCGUCUUCGGGCGGGCGGCCCAACUAAUAUCCCAUCGCGGUGCUCUUUAUUGAGUGUCGAGGUGGGCCGGUACGUUUACUUUGAACAAAUUAGAGUGCUUAAAGCAGGCUAUUCUCGCCUGAAUACUGUGUGCAUGGAAUAAUGGAAUAGGACCUCGGUUCUAUUUUGUUGGUUUUCGGAACCCCGAGGUAAUGAUUAAUAGGGACAGAUGGGGGCAUUCGUAUUGCGACGUUAGAGGUGAAAUUCUUGGAUCGUCGCAAGACGGACAGAAGCGAAAGCAUUUGCCAAAAAUGUUUUCUUUAAUCAAGAACGAAAGUUAGAGGUUCGAAGGCGAUCAGAUACCGCCCUAGUUCUAACCAUAAACGAUGCCAGCUAGCGAUCCGCCGAAGUUCCUCCGAUGACUCGGCGGGCAGCUUCCGGGAAACCAAAGCUUUUGGGUUCCGGGGGAAGUAUGGUUGCAAAGCUGAAACUUAAAGGAAUUGACGGAAGGGCACCACCAGGAGUGGAGCCUGCGGCUUAAUUUGACUCAACACGGGAAACCUCACCAGGCCCGGACACCGGAAGGAUUGACAGAUUGAUAGCUCUUUCUUGAUUCGGUGGGUGGUGGUGCAUGGCCGUUCUUAGUUGGUGGAGCGAUUUGUCUGGUUAAUUCCGAUAACGAACGAGACUCUAGCCUGCUAACUAGGCGUACUUUCCGGUAUCUUGAAGGUCCUCGGCCUACGGGUCGGGCGGUCCUUACUACCGGCGUACAAAUAAUUCUUCUUAGAGGGAC
rnacentral:rRNA from 1 species